rfam:Triticum aestivum genome assembly, contig: Triticum_aestivum_CS42_TGACv1_scaffold_499992_6BL
UUUGUUCUCCCUCCGUCCGGAUAUACUUAUCAUCAAAAUGGAUAAAAGGAGAUGUAUCUAGACAUAUUUUAGUUCUAGAUACAUAUAUUUUUAUCUAUUUUGAUGAAAAGUAUUUUCGGAUGGAGGGAGUAAUAA